AGAGGUUGUUUCUCAGUGGCAGAGCAUUUGCUUGGCACACAGAAGUUUCCAGGUUCAAUCCCUGCCAUCUCUG
rnacentral:tRNA from 1 species